AUGUUGCUGCGGUUAAAGGCUCGCAGUUGAAUGUCGGUUAAUAUACGCGUAGAGGUGCCGGGACGUUGCGAGCUUCGGGUAGCCUUCGUGCUCUCGUUGUUAGCCGUCUCUCCAAGUGCAUCUCUCGUGGGCUAACGAUUCGAUUAGCGUCUUAGUGUCGGGGCUCUAUGUUCCUUCACAGCGGGCGCUAGUUGACACCUUGAGUAAAUCAGAGUGCUUCAAGCAGUCGUUGUUAACACUUCGGCUGCGUCUGGGUUUUUGCCCGAGGCGUAUGUCUAUGGUGACUCAUUUCGGUGAGUUUGGACAUUGUCUUUGCUUUGCAUGGUACGUCGAAAGACGCCGUAUGAGUUGGUUGCGCUUACGCCUUGUCGACACACCUCGUGUGUGCGCGUGCACCAAUAAGUACGGAAUGAUAUGAUAGGGAUGGAUCGAAGGCAUUGGUAUUGCGGGGCGAGAGGUGAAAUUCUAUGACCCCCGCAAGACUACCUGAAGCGAAAGCGUCUGCCUAGGACGUCUUCAUUAAUCAUGAACGAAAGUUGAAGGAUCGAAGGCGAUCAGAUACCGCCCUAGUUGCAACUGUAAACGAUAUCAACCAUCAAUCCGUCAAAGCGUUCCCUUGAGCUUUCGGCGUAUACUUUAACCGGUUGCGUCGGGGGCAAAGUGUAAGCGCUUGAUGGGCAGCUCUUUUUGGACGGGAAACCAGAGUUUUUCGGUUCCGGGGGGAGUCUGGUUGCAAAGCUGAAACUUAAAGGAAUUGACGGAAAGGCACCACCAGGCGUGGAGCUUGCGGCUCAAUUUGACUCAACACGGGAAAUCUCACCAGACCCGAACGUCUUUUGUGAUUGACAGACUGAAAGCUUUUUCUUGAUAAAGUGGAUGGUGGUGCAUGGCCGUUCUUAGUUGGUGGAGUGAUCUGUCUGGUUAAUUCCGAUAACGAACGAGACUCUCUCCUGCUAACGGACCUCGGUGUCUUUCUAGACGGUGUGAUUCGGUUAAAGUCGGCAUGGACGUAAGUCUCGUCGACGGACGAUGUCCACUGAUCCUUGGUGCGUUCGCUUUCGCGUUGUUGUUGCGGGUUCUGCCUGCGACGGCGCGUGUUAGUGGACAAAGCGUCUCGGAGUACGUAUCUUCUUAGAGGGAUUGACGGCUUAUAAGUCGUAAGAAACAGAGAGCAAUAACAGGUCUGUGAUGCCCUUAGAUGUUCUGGGCUGCACGCGUGUUACAAUGCCGGUAUCAACGGGUCGUUACACUCUUCAGUGGCCUACUCUGAAAGGAGCGGGUAAACCUUUGAAAUACCUUCUGCAUCUGUCUCACGAUAGUGCAACUACGGCAUGCUUGGGACUGGGGAUUGCAAUUAUUCCCCACUAACUAGGAAUGCCUUGUAGUGGCGGGUCACAUAGCCCGCUGCGAAUCUGUCCCUGCCCUUUGUACACACCGCCCGUCGCUACUACCGAUUGAGUGUACCAGUGAGAUUUUUGGACUGGCGAACUGUUGCUUCACGGCAACGGCGAACGACAAGAAGAGACUCGAACUGGUGCACUAGAGAA
rnacentral:rRNA from 1 species